AACAAAAAAUAUCUGAGCCAAUGAGGUUUAUCCGAGGCGCGAUUAUUGCUAAUUGAAAAGUGUUCCCAAUACCCCGCCAUCACAACUUGAAAUAUAGUCGGCAUUGGCAAUUUUUGACAGUCUCUAUGGAGA
rnacentral:snRNA from 1 species